rnacentral:snoRNA from 15 species
CUUCCUUAGAUCCACCUUUGUGGAUGUUAAUUUUGAACUGAGUUCUACUUGUAAACUCUGUGUUUCUUGUGGUUCCAGUCAAAGAAGCAUCCGGCAACUUUUUGGAUGUACAGCCAAAGGUGCUUGAGUCAUUAAAGAAAAGAACAAAAUGAAAGGAUGGUAACAUCAAAGGUAUUGAGAACUGGUAUAAAAUGAGAGAAAAAAUGCAAUUAUCACAAUUAU